rnacentral:lncRNA from 1 species
AUUCUGGAUCCCGUUUACUGUUUUGUCAGAUUCCACUAUUCCGCUUACACUACAAAAUGUAAGCAAUCCUCAUUUUUUUGUAAUUUCCUGCGUCCCGCUAGACUUCAUUUCCCAUUUUCACCACGGCACAAUCAUUUGACUCUCACGUGUCACGCUUUUUACAAAAAUCAGCAAUCCCACAUCAUGCUUAGUCCCCAAUGAGACCCACACCAAAGUUUUCAACUGAUUGCUUAGUUUACUUCUAUUAUAUAAGCCAGAGAAAUACAAACGCCG